rnacentral:lncRNA from 1 species
CUGAGUCUUAUCCUGAUUCUGGGAGAGGAAGAAGGGCAAGGCACAUCCAAGGCUAUGGGAAGAAGUACCAACAACAUUGUGUACUGAACACUAAGGGCAUUUAUAAAGCGGUUCUCUCAAAGGCAGCUUCAACCUGAAGACACCACCACCAGCAAAUCAAUUAUUUUAGCGAGUCCCAUCCUCUAAACAUUCAUCCACCCCUUCCAAAAUCAUUUCCCACAUUUGAUGCAAGCACAGUUAUUUUUUUUAUUAUUCCUUUAUGGGAAACAAAAGCUGCAUCUCAAAUGCAGGGAGAAUAUUCCCUGGACACCACUUAGGGAAAGCUUCCUGCUCAAAUGCCAGAGGCACAUACGGUGUUGAAUGGAGAUGAGAAGAAGUUCAUAGAUGAAAAUACUGACAGGAGACUUAGGAUGAGCCAAGCAAAAACCCACUAUCGUGCACGAUUCCUGGUAGAAAUCAGGCUGUGAGCACAGAGGAAGAACUAUCUGAAGAGCCACCAAAGAACCACCCAAAGCAGCUCCGCCAUGGAUCUGAUGGACUGGAAAAGGGAUUAUUGAACAGAGCAUGAAAGGAAAAAAAUUGUUCUUGAUUCGUUUCAG